rnacentral:rRNA from 1 species
GAGUUUGAUCUUGGCUCAGGACGAACGCUGGCGGCGUGCUUAACACAUGCAAGUCAAGGGGGCCCAGCAAUGGGCAACCGGCGAACGGGUGCGUAACACGUGAGCAACCUACCGAACUGUGGGGGAUAGCCGGCCUAACGGCCGAGUAAUACCGCAUACGCUCUCAGAGAGGCAUUUCAUUGAGAGGAAACCUACGGGACAGAUCGAGGGGCUCGCGGCCUAUCAGCUAGUUGGCGAGGUAACGGCUCACCAAGGCAACGACGGGUAGCUGGUCUGAGAGGAUGGCCAGCCACAUUGGGACUGAGAUACGGCCCAGACUCCUACGGGAGGCAGCAGUGGGGAAUCUUGCGCAAUGGCCUAACGGCUGACGCAGCGACGCCGCGUGUGGGAUGAAGCUCCUCGGAGUGUAAACCACUGUUGCCCGGGACGGACAGCUCGAUUAGUCGAGCCUGACGGUACCGGGUGAGGAAGCACCGGCUAACUCCGUGCCAGCCGCCGCCGUAAG